rnacentral:rRNA from 1 species
UACGUAGGGUGCGAGCGUUAAUCGGAAUUACUGGGCGUAAAGCGUGCGCAGGCGGCGCGUUAAGACAGGUGUGAAAGCCCCGAGCUUAACUUGGGAAUUGCGCUUGUGACUGGCGUGCUGGAGUGUGGCAGAGGGAGGUGGAAUUCCACGUGUAGCAGUGAAAUGCGUAGAGAUGUGGAGGAACACCGAUGGCGAAGGCAGCCUCCUGGGCCAGCACUGACGCUCAUGCACGAAAGCGUGGGGAG